rnacentral:lncRNA from 1 species
UAGAAGACAACUAGAACUACCAUGGCUGCCAAAAGCUAAGGACCCAACCCUAGCGCACCUACACAAGACAACGUCCAGCCGCCGGUUCACCACCAAAACAACCGCCGACCAAACACACAGUUCGGCGGAGAAGCCCCAUCACCGCUGCAGCAGCCGACGACCACAACACCUUCAAGCAGUGGCUGAUGCGUCCUCGCGCCACCUCCAUUCCAGCCUUUUCACCUCCAUUCUCCCUUUAACCUAGAGAAUAACUAUCCAUCACUUACAUGCUGGAAAAAGAGCGGCAGGGACGCUGGAAACCAGAACCAACACAAAAAAAAUCGUUUUCUGCUUCUCUUAAAUCUGAAAAAAGCAUUUUAGUUUCUAAAUUUGAUCUUCUCUCGUGGAGUCAUUUUGCAUUCGAC